UCUUCUUAAACCUCUGUAAAGCUCGUGGAGCAGAGUACGUAAGCCAAUCAACCACCAUUGCUACUUUUUCAUAUUCAGCUUCUUCCUCGUUCUAUAUCUGUUAGAAGAUGAUUACUUUCUAGCAGAAGUUUCCAACUUUGGGGUAUGAGCUUGGAAGGUAACUAGCUCACAUUCCGUGUGUGUGUGGGACUGUGAAGUGGCGAGAGCUUUUUGAACUCGAUACUGGACACUUCCGUUGAUGCUGGUAUUUCCAUAAACGGUCUCAACUGAUUGGUGUUGGUAACCGCUGGGGAAUUGAAGAAGGAGACGCGUCAACAAGUGACCGACCACUUGCUUGCAAGAACCUGGACAAUUUUUGGAUUGGAAUCAUCACAUCUUAGUCGGUUGUUUUCUCAGGCUCUUUGUUUCGUGUAAUAUGAAACAGGUACAUAAUAGAAAGAAAGAUUCUACA